AACGAACGCUGGCGGCAGGCUUAACACAUGCAAGUCGAGCGCCCCGCAAGGGGAGCGGCAGACGGGUGAGUAACGCGUGGGAAUCUACCCAUCUCUACGGAAUAACGCAUGGAAACGUGUGCUAAUACCGUAUACGUCCUUCGGGAGAAAGAUUUAUCGGAGAUGGAUGAGCCCGCGUUGGAUUAGCUAGUUGGUGGGGUAAAGGCCUACCAAGGCGACGAUCCAUAGCUGGUCUGAGAGGAUGAUCAGCCACACUGGGACUGGGACACGGCCCAGACUCCUACGGGAGGCAGCAGUGGGGAAUAUUGGACAAUGGGCGCAAGCCUGAUCCAGCCAUGCCGCGUGAGUGAUGAAGGCCCUAGGGUUGUAAAGCUCUUUCACCGGUGAAGAUAAUGAUGGUAACCGGAGAAGAAGCCCCGGCUAACUUCGUGCCAGCAGCCGCCGCAGUAA
rnacentral:rRNA from 1 species